rnacentral:tRNA from 1 species
GACCGUGUAGCUCAGUUGGCAGAGCAUUGGGCUGGUAUUCCAAAGGUCGUAGGUUCGAUUCCCACCGUGGUCA